GACAGAGGGUGCAAACGUUGCUCGGAAUUACUGGGCGUAAAGCGCGUGUAGGUGGAUUGGUGUGUCAGAUGUGAAAGCCCUGGGCUCAACCCAGGAACUGCACCUGAAACUACCAGUCUUGAGUGGUGGAGAGGGAAGUGGAAUUCCUGGUGUAGAGGUGAAAUUCGUAGAUAUUCGGAAGAACACCAGUGGCGAAGGCGGCUCACUGGACCGGUAUUGACGCUGAGGUGCGAAAGCGUGGGGAGCAAACAGG
rnacentral:rRNA from 1 species